rnacentral:rRNA from 1 species
UACAGAGGUCUCAAGCGUUGUUCGGAAUUACUGGGCGUAAAGGGCUCGUAGGUGGCCAACUAAGUCAGACGUGAAAUCCCCAGGCUUAACCUGGGAACUGCAUCCGAUACUGGAUGGCUUGAAUCCGGGAGAGGGAUGCGGAAUUCCAGGUGUAGCGGUGAAAUGCGUAGAGAUCGUAAGGAAGACCAGUGGCGAAGGCGGGUCUCUGGACAGUUCCUGACACUGAGGCACGAAGGCCAGGGGAGCAAACGGG